rnacentral:rRNA from 1 species
GACGAACGCUGGCGGCGCGCUUAACACAUGCAAGUCGAGCGAUGAAAUCUUAACAGAACCCUUCGGGGUGAAGAUAAGACGGAUUAGCGGCGGACGGGUGAGUAACACGUGAGUAACCUGCCUUUUACACAGGGAUAGCCUCAGGAAACCGGGAUUAAAACCUGAUGAAACUAUCAAAUCACAUGAUUAAGAAAGUUAAAACUCCGGUGGUAAAAGAUGGACUCGCGUCCCAUUAGCUAGUUGGUGAAGGUAACGGCCCACCAAGGCAACGAUGGGUAGCCGGCCUGAGAGGGUGAACGGCCACAUUGGAACUGAGAAACGGUCCAAACUCCUACGGGAGGCAGCAGUGGGGAAUAUUGCAAAAUGGGGGAAACCCUGAUGCAGCGACGCCGCGUGAGCGAAGAAGGCCUUCGGGUCGUAAAGCUCUUUUAUAUGGGAAGAUAAUGACGGUACCAUAAGAAAAAGCCCCGGCUAACUACGUG